UGUGCUCUAAGUCUAACGCACUGAUUCCCCCUCCCCCACUCUCUCAAUCGUCUCUGAUACAAUCGGCCGAGUAUCCCCGAUAGAGAUAAGGUAUCACGACAAGGAUGCGUCGUUUCACGUCCCGCAUUGCGGCCUUCGCGGCCGUGCCGGCGGCUGAGCAGACCCGCCAGCUUCACUUCCCCAUUUCGCCCCCACCGAUUGAGAUCGACUACCUUGAUAGCGACCCGCUUGAGUUCGCCGUGCGCACGGAGGCGCGCAGGUGGGGCUUUGAUGACUUGCAGUACAUGCGUGAGCUCGCGUUUGUACGCAUCAAGAAUAACCCGUCGAUCGGCGACUUCCGCAACAUGACACCAGAGGAACGCCGCGACCUCUUCUGGGGUAGCGACCGUCAGGACUUCUUUCGCUACAUCACCUUAAAGCUGACGGGCCACCCCGAGCACCUCUAUCACCGCGGCUGGUAAGGAAUUAGGUGUGUGUGUGUGCACUCCGAAGUGCCUUGCUUUUUACGUUCCCCCCUUCUCAUCCACCCCUAUACGCUCUUGUGGCGCUUGAAGAGAGGGGGGGUGAAAGGCUGGCGUGGGUGAUGGCCCUCCUUCUCCUUUUACAUAUGUUUCGUGUAGCAAGCUGCCCGCCUUCCUCUCCUGUCCUGUUUUUUUUUUCUUACUUUUCCCCGUCGAACUACCCAUGUGUCGCCCCCCUCCCCUCUCCUCGACUACCACCACCACCACCGCCUCUCCUUGUCAUCGCACAAG
rnacentral:misc_RNA from 1 species